GAUGAACGCUGGCGGCGUGCCUAAUACAUGCAAGUCGAGCGAACGGACGAGAAGCUUGCUUCUCUGAUGUUAGCGGCGGACGGGUGAGUAACACGUGGAUAACCUACCUAUAAGACUGGGAUAACUUCGGGAAACCGGAGCUAAUACCGGAUAAUAUUUUGAACCGCAUGGUUCAAAAGUGAAAGACGGUCUUGCUGUCACUUAUAGAUGGAUCCGCGCUGCAUUAGCUAGUUGGUAAGGUAACGGCUUACCAAGGCAACGAUGCAUAGCCGACCGGAGAGGGGGAUCGGCCACACUGGAACUGAGACACGGUCCAGACUCCUACGGGAGGCAGCAGUAGGGAAUCUUCCGCAAUGGGCGAAAGCCUGACGGAGCAGCGCCGCGUGAGUGAUGAAGGUCUUCGGAUCGUAAAACUCUGUUAUUAGUGAAGAACAUAUGUGUAAGUAACUGUGCACAUCUUGACGGUACCUAAUCAGAAAGCCACGGCUAACUACGUG
rnacentral:rRNA from 1 species